rnacentral:misc_RNA from 1 species
AAGGGAAAAAUCACAUUUCAAGUUUAUGGUAUUGAUAACCCACCAUCUCAUUACAGCUCAUUAGUAAUGAAUGGAGAGAAAUCAUAGUUCUAGUGGGCGUCACAAACUAAAGCCAAGACAGAAAAGGUGGUUCUCAUGUAGAAGAGAAUGGAGUACAGCAGCACAAAAAGGGCAGAGAAAAGGUUUCCAAUGAAAACAAGUUGCGUCUCAGUUCAUUGGAUUGGGGUGAGAUUUUUAUGGUUGAGGUUGAGGAGAUGCUUGUGCAGUGCAAGUGGAAGUUUUGAGGCCCAUUGCAAUUGAUAAGAGCUCUCGUCGCCCCUGGUUUUUAAUUAUUUUAUUUUAAUUGUUGGAGGCUUGGAGCAGUGAUCAUGAUGUUCUUUCUUUUUUCUUUAUGUAAUUUUAGCUGUUCCACUUUAU